rnacentral:rRNA from 1 species
UUGGAGGGCAAGUCUGGUGCCAGCAGCCGCGGUAAUUCCAGCUCCAAUAGCGUAUAUUAAAGUUGUUGCAGUUAAAAAGCUCGUAGUUGAAUUUCGGGGUCAGUAGGCUGGUCGUGCCACAGGUAUGUACUGGUCUCACUGAUCCCUCCUUCCUGAUGAACCGUAAUGCCAUUAAUUUGGUGUUGCGGGGAAUCUGGACUGUUACUUUGAAAAAAUUAGAGUGUUUAAAGCAGGCUAACGCUUGAAUACAUUAGCAUGGAAUAAUGAAAUAGGACGAUCGAUCCUAUUUUGUUGGUUUCUAGGAUUGACGUAAUGAUUAAUAGGGAUAGUUGGGGGCAUUAGUAUUCAAUUGUCAGAGGUGAAAUUCUUGGAUUUAUUGAAGACUAACUACUGCGAAAGCAUUUGCCAAGGAUGUUUUCAUUAAUCAAGAACGAAAGUUAGGGGAUCGAAGACGAUCAGAUACCGUCGUAGUCUUAACCAUAAACUAUGCCGACUAGGGAUCGGAUGAUGUUAAUUUUUUAAUGACUCAUUCGGCGCCUUACGGGAAA